UACGAAGGACCCGAGCGUUUUCCGGAUUUAUUGGGUUUAAAGGGUGCGUAGGCGGGCUGGUAAGUCCGUGGUGAAAUCUCCAAGCUUAACUUGGAAACUGCCGUGGAUACUAUUUGUCUUGAAUAUAGUGGAGGUGAGCGGAAUAUGUCAUGUAGCGGUGAAAUGCUUAGAUAUGACAUAGAACACCCAUUGCGAAGGCAGCUCGCUAUACUAUUAUUGACGCUGAGGCACGAAAGCGUGGGGAUCAAACAGG
rnacentral:rRNA from 1 species